rnacentral:rRNA from 1 species
CCUACGGGAGGCAGCAGUGGGGAAUAUUGCACAAUGGGCGAAAGCCUGAUGCAGCCAUGCCGCGUGUGUGAAGAAGGCUCUAGGGUUGUAAAGCACUUUCAGUAGGGAGGAAAUGUUGUUGAUUAAUACUCAACAAUCUUGACGUUACCUACAGAAGAAGCACCGGCAAACUCCGUGCCAGCAGCCGCGGUAAU